CACAGUAAUGGAAGAAAAUAUUUAGAACUUUGAUUUGUUCACCAUUGAACCAACAUGCUAUGCUGUCAUUUAUUUUUUGGUAAUUGGGUGUUUGUGCGUGAAUUAACUAUCUUAAGAUUUUUGCAGUCCGGGCUGCAGAAUGUUGAGAAUACUGAAGGAAGGGGAGUACAGAAGCAGCAAGUCAGAGAUGGAUGAAACUUUGUAUAUAAAGGACACCAGUGGACUGAACUUAGUGAAUAACCGCUGGUUUUCACCGGCACCAUUCAGGGAUAGCUGGACGGGGUAAAUCUCUUGAAGGAGGAAGAUACUGACUAAUGAUGGUUAAAGUUUGGAAAGAGUCUCAGUCCAUUAGGGAAAUGAGGUAGAGGCGGCCUGGAGUGACACCUCCACGUCAGGAAGCCAAGGGGCACUUCCAGUGGAAAGCCAGCCCAGAGAUGUGAGUUACUGGUCUUGAAGCAAGAGGAUCCUUGGGGAACUGGAAACCAUGUGUCACUCCUGUCACCCCAGGAAUCUGGAUUAUGGA